GUCCUUGUCGUGUACAAUACGCAUGAAAAACCUAUAUUAAAAUAAAGGAUGUCGAAAGGAAGCAUAGUUGACGAGUUUGGCGGAUUGAUACUUCAACAGAUUGUCCGAUUUAUUUUGAACAUAAAUAAUACGCAGACACAAACAACCCAACAUUCUUUUAUUUCACUAAUUAACAUUGCAAUAUACGCAAGAGGUUUGGCUUACCAUAAAAUCAAGUUCAAUCCACCAUUCGUAUGCCCCAACUAGUAGAGAGGCAUUAUGUAUUCUGGUAUGUGCGUCCGUUUGUUCGUUCGUCCGGCUGUCACGCUUCGGGUUAAAGUUUUAGUAAAGGUAGUUUAUGAUGAAGUUGGAGUCUAAUCAACUUGAAACUUAGUACACAUGUUCCCUAUGUUAUACUCUUUCCAAUUUUACUGCCACAUAUUAAGAGUAUUUACUUUAAUUUCACGGUCCACUAAACAUAGAAAAUGAUAGUCGAGUGGGGCAUCCGUGUACUAUGGACACAUUAUUGUUUCUUUUAAAAAAUGUCCUGUCCAACGUCAAGAGUACAGCAUUUGUUAUCAAAUAAUUCGUUUCUAUGUAUGUUGUAUAAGCGUUUGUUUUUGUUGUGCUUCAUCGUCUCUAUUGUUCCGUUGUUUUCCUCUUAUAGAUUGUUUGUUUCUAUGAGUUUUAGUUUUGUAACCCGACUUUACUUUCUCUUAAUCGAUUUAUGACUUUUGAACAGCGGUAUACUGCUGUUGCCUUUAAAUGUAUCUAUAUUGCCCUGUCACUUAACAUCUUAUAUUGAAAUGAGUAUAUGCAUCUCAUUUACCACAGUAAAGUUGAGAUUAAAGCUACUACCGAAACUAAGAUAUACUUUAUAUCAUGCUCUUUUCCUUGAUAUUGACAUAGUUUGACGACUUCAAACUAGAAUAUAGGAAAAAUCGACAUUAAGACUCGAAGAAAAACUGAAAAAGACGAACAAGUCUAUUUAGCACCGGAGAUGAACUAAGG
rnacentral:lncRNA from 1 species